CUACGGGUCGCUCCAGUCGAGAAUCUUCCGCAAUGGACGAAAGUCUGACGGAGCGACGCCGCGUGCGGGAUGAAGGCCUUCGGGUUGUAAACCGCUGCCAGUGGGGAGGAAAUGCAUCAGGGUUCUCCCUGGUGUUUGACCGAUCCGCAGAGGAAGCGCAGGCUAAGUUCGUGCCAGCAGCCGCGGUAACACGAACUGCGCGAACGUUAUUCGGAAUCACUGGGCUUAAAGAGUUCGUAGGCGGCCUUUCAAGUCGGGUGUGAAAUCCCUCGGCUCAACCGAGGAAUUGCGCCUGAUACUGUUGGGCUUGAGGGGGAUAGGGGUGAGCGGAACUGAUGGUGGAGCGGUGAAAUGCGUUGAUAUCAUCAGGAACACCGGUGGCGAAGGCGGCUCACUGGAUCUCUUCUGACGCUGAGGAACGAAAGCUAGGGGAGCGAACGGGAUUAGAUACCCGCGUAGUC
rnacentral:rRNA from 1 species